ACUGUCCAUCGGAAUCAGCUGAAGGUGUCAGGUGCGAAGUUCACGCCACGGAACUUCGACCAGAAUAGUUCUGCGCAUGCGCAGGUCAGCGCGGCCUAAUCACUGUGUUUUAUAACAAACAUCAGUGGAAGUUGCACAUAAUGACCACAAGACGUGUACCUGUUUAUCAGCAAAUGUACAUACACAUUGUAUGCAUUGUGAAAUUGCUAUUUGUUUUGUUUUAUAACUUUAAGAAGAGGUUUAAAUGCUAACUUUGUACCCCACUGUCAGGAUGAUUGUGAAUAUUAUGCACCGCUCCUAUGUAGUAACUAUUUGAAAGUUACAUUACAUGUUUAACAUAUCAGCUUGGACUCCUAUACACUGUUCCUUAAUUAACAUCUUGAUUACACGUGUGAAUCAGGUGUUACAACUUGCCUUUUAAAGUAGGACAGUGGGUAAAUACAGUACAGUCAGAAAGUUAGGAAACAGUACAGGGGUUGAAGACCCCAGAAAUUGUCACUUAAGUUUUAAUUGACCAUGAAACAUCACCUCCUGCAACUUGCAAUUUCAUUUUACUCAAAUUUUAUUUUGCAAUUGUAUGUAUUGUAAUACACUUUUUUCAUUAGUCAAGAAUUAGUGCCUUGCAUUUAUUAAGGUAUUUUUGUCUUGUGUUAUCCUUGUGUGGAUUGGAUGUGCUCAUGCGCUGAACUUUGAAUGACAAGUCAGAGUGGUCAUUUUGUGGUCUUUUGACUGAUUGGAGGAGGUUUCAUUUGGAGGCCCAGGGGUGGGGGGUGAUUAUGUUAUAAAGGCUCGGGUGGGAGUAUUAAAGAGAAGCUGGUGAAAAAACAUAAGAAGAAGUUUCAGUGCCCAUAACGAUGGACACUAAGUUGUGUCUAUUACUCAUCCUUGGUGCACAUUUACUGACAGCAAACACUGAGGUAGUUGAGGAAGACAGUGGAGAAGGACAGCUACCCGUAUGCCCAUGUAAGUGACCAAUUCACAACAUGUUGAUUCUCAUCUAACUAACCCUUAGGUCAGCUAGUUGUGACUUGUCUGUAACCAAUCAGGAUUAGUUUCUUUAGUCUGGCCUACUGUGCUACUAUUGACUGCAGAAGAUAGCAGCGGUGAACCCUGGUACAUGAACCUUGUGUAUG
rnacentral:lncRNA from 1 species